CACUGGCGGCGGCGCCUCACUCACUGGGCGGCUGUGCCCUCACAGUCUCAGACAGUGUUCUAGGUAUCAGCAAGUGGAGAAGACGUGAAGGAGUCAAGUUCAUUAUGCGACGUGUGGCAAUGAUGUUAACUCAAGGACGCACGAGGCCGCAGCCAGCAACACCUCCUCCUCCGCCGCUGCCUGGCGGCCCUCGUUC